CGGGCAGGCGGUGACUUAAGUCAUGCGUGAAAGCUCCUGGCUCAACUGGGAGAGGUCGUGUGAAACUGGGUCGCUAGAGGUAAGUAGAGGCAGACGGAAUUCCGGGUGGAGUGGUGAAAUGCGUAGAGAUCCGGAGGAACACCAGUGGCGAAGGCGGUCUGCUGGGCUUAACCUGACGCUCAGCCGCGAAAGCAUGGGUAGCGAACG
rnacentral:rRNA from 1 species